GACGAACGCUGGCGGCGUGCUUAACACAUGCAAGUCGAACGGAAAGGCCCUGCUUUUGUGGGGUGCUCGAGUGGCGAACGGGUGAGUAACACGUGAGUAACCUGCCCUUGACUUUGGGAUAACUUCAGGAAACUGGGGCUAAUACCGGAUAGGAGCUCGUGCUGCAUGGUGGGGGUUGGACAGUUUCGGCGGUUGGGGAUGGACUCGCGGCUUAUCAGCUUGUUGGUGGGGUAGUCGCUUACCAAGGCAUUGACGGGUAGCCGGCCUGAGAGGGUGACCGGCCACAUUGGGACUGAGAGACGGCCCAGACUCCUACGGGAGGCAGCAGUGGGGAAUAUUGCACAAUGGGCGGAAGCCUGAUGCAGCAACGCCGCGUGCGGGAUGACGGCCUUCGGGUUGUAAACCGCUGUCGCCUGUGACGAAGCGUGAGUGACGGUAAUGGGUAAAGAAGCACCGGCUAACUACGUG
rnacentral:rRNA from 1 species